AGGGGCUGCAGGCAGUGCCACCCCACAGAAUGGGGAAGGGUUUCGGAACUGUAGAAGGGAGCUUCUUAGAAAGCAAGACACCUGUCUGGGACUGGAAUUUUGCAUACUACUUGGAAGACUAAAAUACCUACUUGCUAGAGUCUAGAGAGAUGGGGUGUGUGUGCAUACGUGUGCAUCAGAAGGAAAUACAGAAGAACAAUAAGAAUGUCUAACGUCUAACAUCUGACCACCUACCUGCCUCUUCCAAGCUCGGGCCCUGGGUCCAGCAGCCUACAACACAACAAAAUGCUGUUUUUUGAAAACGCCAAGAAUAAACAAGAUACAAUGGGCUUUGUAAAGGGAAGGAAAAGAAAAUAAGCGCUGCACCCAAAUGCCAACAUCACAGAUUGAAUAGAAUUGUCCCAGGUUUUAUGACUGUUUCAUCCCUAGCUUGAAAAAUACUGUAUAUUUUUUGUCACCAAGGCUAAUUUCAUAUACUUUGUACGUUUCUCCUGUAUUCCUGGUAGAUGAGAAGCCUUCAUAAAGUUUGAGAUGGGGGGACCUUAGAAAUAACUCAAUACAAUGCCUUCAUUUUACUGAUGGGGACAGUCUGAACCAAAGAGGUGAAGCCACUUGCCUGGAGAGACAUGGAACCCUGGAGUAGCUGCGGAGUAAGGCAUGGGACUUCCACUUCCCACACCAAUGCUCCUUCUGCCAAACCACACCACCUUUUACUAGAAGAUCAUCAUUAGAACCUACUUUGCCUUUUUCUUUUCUUUCCGCAUAACUCCAGGCUACUAGACUUUCAAUCAUUUUUAUGAUCUUUCAACUAACCAGUAAGAUUUUGGCAUGGCGUAAGAUCACAGGUAACUUUUCAAUAAAAUAUAAAACCAUCAGUUCAUUUGCCCAUAAUGGCAUCUAUUGUUCUAGCUCUCUAGCUUUACUAGUUUUCUGUUCCUCUUAAUAAAAAUAGUCCUUUGCUGCUAUUUUCUGUUUGAAAACCAAACUCUCAUACAUAUUUCUGGUUUUUGCUCUUUUCCUACUCCUUUUCAUGUGCUACAGAUCAGACUGCUAAGAUUUCUGAAGCCUGACACAAGAAUCGCUUAGUGCUCAAUCCCGCUGCCUUACUGCCUGU